rnacentral:misc_RNA from 1 species
AACGCACGAGACCUGCGGACCUGCGGAAGGAUCAUUACCGAGUUUACAACUCCCAAAACCCCUGUGAACCUAUACCAUUACUGUUGCUUCGGCGGGUCAUUGCCCCGGGGAAAGGACGAGGUGCCGCCUAGGCUCCCCGGCCCGCCCCCGGAAACAGGCGCCUGCCGGGGGAAUCAAACUCUUCUGUAUUUUUUACUUUUACUGUUAUACUGUCUGAGUACAAAACUAUAAAUGAAUCAA